AGAAUCAACGCUGGCGGCGUGCCUAACACAUGCAAGUCGAACGAGAAAGUGGAGCAAUCCAUGAGUACAGUGGCGUACGGGUGAGUAACACGUGACUAACCUACCCUCGAGUGGGGAAUAACCUCGGGAAACCGGGCUAAUACCGCAUAACAUCUUCGGAUCAAAUGCGUAAGCAGCUUGAGGAGGGGGUCGCGGCCGAUUAGCUAGUUGGCGGGGUAAUGGCCCACCAAGGCAAUGAUCGGUAGCCGGCCUGAGAGGGCGCACGGCCACACUGGAACUGAAACACGGUCCAGACUCCUACGGGAGGCAGCAGUGGGGAAUUUGCGCAAUGGGGGAAACCCUGACGCAGCAACGCCGCGUGGAGGAUGAAGCCCUUUGGGGCGUAAACUCCUUUCGAUCGGGACGAUUAUGACGGUACCGGAAGAAGAAGCACCGGCUAACUCUGCGCCAGCAGCCGC
rnacentral:rRNA from 1 species